CCAGACUCCUACGGGAGGCAGCAGUGGGGAAUAUUGCACAAUGGGGGAAACCCUGAUGCAGCGACGCCGCGUGAGUGAAGAAGUAUUUCGGUAUGUAAAGCUCUGUCAGCAGGGAAGAAAGAAAUGACGGUACCUGACCAAGAAGCCCCGGCUAACUACGUGCCAGCAGCCGCGGUAAUACGUAGGGGGCAAGCGUUAUCCGGAAUUACUGGGUGUAAAGGGAGCGUAGACGGUGAUGCAAGUCUGGAGUGAAAGGCGGGGGCCCAACCCCCGGACUGCUCUGGAAACUGUAAAGCUGGAGUGCAGGAGAGGUAAGCGGAAUUCCUAGUGUAGCGGUGAAAUGCGUAGAUAUUAGGAGGAACACCAGUGGCGAAGGCGGCUUACUGGACUGCAACUGACGUUGAGGCUCGAAAGCGUGGGGAGCAAACAGGAUUAGAUACCCUCGUAAU
rnacentral:rRNA from 1 species